UUGACCUCGAAUCAGGUAGGAAUACCCGCUGAACUUAAGCAUAUCAAUAAGCGGAGGAAAAGAAACCAACCGGGAUUACCCUAGUAACGGCGAGUG
rnacentral:rRNA from 1 species